AUGACUUCACCAAUUAUUUCAGCCACGAGUAUUGUAUAUGUGGAGGACGUCGAAGUUCUGACUUCUGGUGCCAACUGUGGCAGUAAAUUAUAAAUGUGUUGGAUCUUCUUGGAAAGCUGUGUUUGGUGAGUGUUUUACAUAUAUUAUAAACCUAUAUUAUAUUUGCGAUAUCAUAGAUUUCGUUGCUUACUUAAAAAGUCACGUCGUCUCGAAUACAACGUUUACAUAAAAUUUCCAACUGCUACUUGGACAACUGGUUUCAUUUGGGCCCCAGAACUCUUCUCAAUCAUAAACCCCGUCCUAUCCUCGAUGCUAAAACUGUGUUUAUAUCAUUUCGGUUCAACGA